CGGACGGGUGAGUAACGCGUGGGUAACCUGCCUCAUACAGGGGGAUAACAGUUAGAAAUGACUGCUAAUACCGCAUAAGCGCACGGGACUGCAUGGUCCAGUGUGAAAAACUCCGGUGGUAUGAGAUGGACCCGCGUCUGAUUAGCUAGUUGGUGGGGUAAGGGCUCACCAAGGCGACGAUCAGUAGCCGGCCUGAGAGGGUGACCGGCCACAUUGGGACUGAGACACGGCCCAAACUCCUACGGAAGGCAGCAG
rnacentral:rRNA from 1 species